rnacentral:rRNA from 1 species
CCUACGGGUGGCAGCAGUGGGGAAUAUUGCACAAUGGGGGAAACCCUGAUCCAGCAACGCCGCGUGAGUGAAGAAGUAUCUCGGUAUGGAAAGCUCUAUCAGCCGGGAAGCAGAUGACGGUACCUGAGUAAGACGCCCCGGCUAACUACGUGCCAGCAGCCGCGGUAAUACGGAGGAUGCGAGCGUUAUCCGGAUUUAUUGGGUUAAAAGGGUGCGCAGGCGGGGGUUCAAGUUAGUGGUCAAAUUGCGGGGCUCAACCCCGUACUGCCGUUGAAACUGCAGCCCUUGAGUGCGCGAGAAGUAGGCGGAAUGCGUGGUGUAGCGGUGAAAUGCAUAGAUAUCACGCAGAACUCCGAUUGCGAAGGCAGCAUACCGGCGCGCAACUGACGCUCAUGCACGAAAGCGUGGGGAUCGAACAGGAUUAGAUACCCGGGUAGUC